ACUCUCUGUUAAAUUCGCUACUGGAUAGUAUCCCAGCUCGUUUUCCAGGGAUGCAGUAGACAGCUCCAGGAGCCGAAAUUUUUGUGAGACCAAGCGUAAACCACUAAAAAGGUCAAAGUUGCCGACGAUAGUAACUUAUAAUCGAUCUACGCAGCAUGCUCUUUCGCCCGAGGAUGUUCACGCGAACUGCUAUUGAAUUCCUGCAAAACUAGAUGAGGUGAAAUAAAAGUUGAUCCAUAGCUAACUAUAAAAUACUAUUACUAGAUAGAGAUGUUGAUGAUCCGUGAAAGUGCAGAGAUACAAAAUAGCAAAAUUUGCUUCUCCUUCUAUUACUAUUUGUUGUUACUUUGAUACAUCUAGAUAUCCAAAGAUAAUGACUAGAUUAAUGCCAAC
rnacentral:sRNA from 1 species